rnacentral:rRNA from 1 species
GUGGGGAAUCUUAGACAAUGGGGGCAACCCUGAUCUAGCCAUGCCGCGUGAUCGAUGAAGGCCUUAGGGUUGUAAAGAUCUUUCAGCUGGGAAGAUAAUGACGGUACCAGCAGAAGAAGCCCCGGCUAACUCCGUGCCAGCAGCCGCGGUAAUACGGAGGGGGCUAGCGUUGUUCGGAAUUACUGGGCGUAAAGCGCACGUAGGCGGAUUGGAAAGUUGGGGGUGAAAUCCCGGGGCUCAACCCCGGAACUGCCUUCAAAACUCCCAGUCUUGAGGUCGAGAGAGGUGAGUGGAAUUCCGAGUGUAGAGGUGAAAUUCGUAGAUAUUCGGAGGAACACCAGUGGCGAAGGCGGCUCACUGGCUCGAUACUGACGCUGAGGUGCGAAAGCGUGGGGAGCAAACAGGAUUAGAUACCCUAGUAGUCC